rnacentral:rRNA from 1 species
AGCUCCAGUGGCAUAUAUUAGAGUUGUUGCGGUUGAAAGGCUCGUAGUUGGAUGUCUGCUGGGGGUGGCUGGUCCGCCCUUUGGGCGAGUAUCUGGUGCAAUCUGGGCAUAAUUCUGCAAGCUGCAACUGCACUUGACUGUGUGGUGCGGUGUUGAGAGCUUUUACUUUGAGGAAACGAGAGUGUUCAAAGCAAGUGUCUGCUGUGAGUACAGAAGCAUGGAAUAAUGGUAUCCGACCUUGGUUUCAUUUUGUUGGUUUCUGGAACAGGGGUAUUGGCAAACAGGGAUGGUUGGGGGCAUCUGUAUUUGACUGUCAGAGGUGAAAUUCUUGGAUUUGUCAAGGAUGGACUACUGCGAAGGCAUUUGUCAAGGAUGUCUUCAUUGAUCAAGAACGAAAGUA